rnacentral:tRNA from 1 species
UGGGAUGCUACAUUGGUAAUGGUCGGGAUAG